GUAUGGAUCUUAUCUUCUUUUCUCUUCUAGAGUCGGUUGUUGCUGUGGAUCGAUUUUAUCUUCUUCUCUACUCACCAAUCCUCAAAAGAACAACAACCCGAAAACAAAAACAAACAGAGAGACAUACAAGAUUGACAACGAAAACGAGGAACAGUGAUCUUACAGCCAAGUACUGUUCGAGAUCUUCCAUCAACAUCAAUCUCCAUAGAAACUGGCCUGGGGUUUAACCUUUCAACGAUUCCAAGAUCCAACUUUUUUGGAGAUUCUCAAAGAAAAGGAUUCGAUUGAAAAGAAAUAAAACAGGUUUGACACAAGAUCAGUUACUACAUUUGCUGAACAAAAGUUCUCCACAGAUGGUAUUCAAGUAAAAACAGGUCCCUAGGUUGUAAAAGUAGCUGCUCCAUUCUAAAAGCCGAUCUCCGAUACUGUUUGCAUGAACAAAGAUGUAGUUAAGGAAUUUGACCCUUAUUUUAUUCCCCAAUGUCUUUGCAGAGCAAAAGCUGGCUUCAAGCUUGGCAGAUAGUGUUACUCAAAUGUCUCAAGAUGUUGAUAAGGUGAGCAAUCCUGACAGCAUCAGAAUAGAAGCAGAAAAGAGAUGAUGUUGUAUUGUUGUUUGCAUAUCAGCUCUGAGUGGCUAGGGCUUAAAUGAUUGCUGCAGUGCAAUCCAGGCAAAAUUGAAGAUACUUCUAAUUGUUUUCAUACUCUUGAGUAAUGUGUGUGCUCUUAUAAGUUAGAAGAUAAGAAUGUCUUUUGUUUAGCAGUACGCUAAUGGUACCGGUGGAAGCCUUGAUCCUAUUUGAAAGAGGAGAGCUUCACGAAGCACAUUAUGAAACUGUUUUAUAUCGGAUCGUCCAAGGUGUCAUCGACAAAAAAAAAAAAUAGAACCAUGACUCUAUUAGCAAGCAGCUGUUCAAAUCAACCCCUAACAAAAAUCCAAUGAGUGUGAUUGUGGAAUCCUUGAAGCCCUGAAGGUGGUUAGCUUGCAAGGAUUUGCCUCAAUUUUGGAGCCUAACCUCUGUAGAAUCAUGAGUCAAAUUUUGACUAUUUACUGAUUAUAGUUGAAUUUUGGUCGAGACUAGAUGCCGUUAGAUGAAUCUCUUCAAUAUGUUUAUCAAUUCAGUGAAGCAUCAUGUUGCUUUUAAUAGUUCUGUUAUUCAAAUUCUCAUGUCAUUCAUUCAUCAAAAUCAUGUAAUGGAAUCACUUUAAUGGAAUUUUUCUGGAAUUAUAUUC